rnacentral:tRNA from 1 species
GUCCAGGGAUGGGAAUCGAAUCCACAGUGUUCCGUUUACCGGGCAGAUGCCAUGUCCACUAAGCUACCCUGGA